GAGGAGGGGAGAGAGAGACACACACAUACACAGAAUCCAAGGCAGGCUCCAGGCUCUGAGCUGUCAGCACAGAGCCCCGUGCAGGGCUCGAACUCACUGUGAGAUCAUGACCUGAGCUGAAGUUGGACACCCAACUGACUGAGCCAUCCAGAGAGCUCAUGAAGAGAUGAGAUUGUCAAACUGAAUAAUCUAAAGAGAUUCCUUGGUGACUUAACAUGAAGCGAAUGUCUAGAUAUGAGAGAGUAUUUAAGGAGCUUUCUCUUGGGCUGACCUGGUGAGCCACUGCCAUCUUCAAGUGCCGAUUUGGGGCUGUUGCAGGUACCUACUCCUUGGGAGACACCGAUGGACAAGGCAGGCGUGUGUCGAGUGAAGCAAUUCAUGAAUACUCAGCCAUGAAAUGGAAAAUCCAAAUGAAAUAAGGACCACGGUAACUAUCUUGGUCUAUUAAUAUUUAAAUAUUAAUACCUACUUUUCUUUGCGAGACGUUACUGAAUAUUUAUUGACGAGAAAAAAAAUGAGAGUUUGGGAAGAAGAACAUGUUCGAGAACUGCAUUUAAACAGAGUUUCAAUGCCAUGUGGUCUUCUUAACUCAAAUAGUCAACCAAUUAAAAUAAGUUCCCAUCCAAACGUGUCUUCAAAUUUAGGGUCCGCUGGAAAAAAUUUCCAAAAUGCAUUACAACUUUCGAUAGGGGCGACACAUGGUCCUGUUUUCCCAAAACUUGGAUUUAAUAUUUGAAUGCAAUGGUAUUUGACUGUGUUAGGAUAGAAUAUUUGAACUUAAAAAGAAAACUCCUGAAUUUGUUUAUGCAUAAGCCUAUUAAAAAUGUUUCUAGGGGCUCUUGUUUUGUUUAUUCUUUAGAAUAUAACCUAUCUUUGAAGUGGUAUAGGCGUUUUUAAAAAGUCAUUCCUAAGCUAAGUAAUUAGACUGGAAACAAAAGUUAUUCUUAGAGUACAUUCCACAUAUAAAGCUAUGCACACGAUGCUUUGAUUCAAAUAAUACUCUUAUAAAACUUUGUUAUUGUUUGAGGCCCAUAUUCAGAGUGGCAACUUUUGUUUUUGAUGAUUAUUCCAUCCUGAAACAAUUUCCCCCCUGCCCAAUUAAACCAGAAAUUAGGAGCACAUUUAUAUCUGAUGAGACUUAAACUUCUCAACUGCCUGCUUCAGAAGCGAGGACCUUUAGUGGUUAUGUUCAUUUUGUCUCUGCACAGAGGGCUCAGAAGAAAACAGAAUCAAUUCCCCUAACUUUUUCUGGAAGAGGAAGGUUGUUUUUGUUGCUUUGAUCUUAGCAUGUUGUGCAUUUUUUAUUGGCUGUUGAAUAUAAAAAGCCAUAGCCUCAUCUGGUUUUUCUGCUAUAUUCUCAUAUUGUAAAUCACAUAAUGCCUUCCAAUCUAAACUUAAAUGCCUAGGUCCAAAAUAUUAUUUCAAAAUGGAUUUAUCAUUGCAGUUGAUAGAAAGAUUUCCAGGGUGUAAGAAAACUCUCCAAGGUUCGAGUAAUAUGUCACAGACUGCUAAAAAUAUAUCCAUGCACUUUAGACCACAAAUUCCAGGAUGUAGACAUAUACUCAUGCUAUUUUAGAUCCCUUUUUCUAUCAUUGCAAGAGGCUGUUGAAGCUAAUGUAGCAGCUGGCUAGGUUAUUGCUUCUAUAAUAUAAUCCAUAAUGCAAAAGCAGCUAUUUUCCAAACAUUCUAGAGCAACUCAACUUGUUUACAUGUCUCUGUAAGGUAAUUUUCCUAUAACUUUGUGCCAAUUGGUGCCAUACUAUUUGGUAAAAAUCUUCAUUAAAUCAAGACAACUACACUUGGUUAAAUUCUCUCUCAUACAGAGAACUGCAGGAAAAUUACAGUUAGCUGAUUUGAGGCCAUCAUCAUGAAGUAACUACAGGGUUUUAGAAGAUUAAUGCAAACUACAAAAAUGGAGUUGUAUAAUUAAACAUCAAAUAGUCCAAGUCAUAAAAGUCAUAGAUUAAUUGUCUCUCAGUUCGAGUCAGAUCCUUUAAAUAUUGUCUCACGACCUGAGCAUUGGUUCUUUCAUCAGACGAGUGCCUAUCCUUAAAGUUUGGAAAUUUCAGCUCUUUUGGAGCACCAAUCAGCUGCAAAAAGUAAUUGGCAUCUUCUUCCAAAGUUUCGAAUUUCCCUACAAAAUCAUAGUUGAUUAAACACGGAUAGCAGAGUUUGCUGACCUUUUCCCAGUGAAUGUCCAUUCCUACUGGACGGUGGGAAUCCAGCAAAUAGUGGACGAACUCUUUGAAUUUGACCCCAGAUCCAUUAUUUAAUGCUUCUUCACAGGCAUUUGGCCGAUAUUUCUUUAUAAUUGCCUUCCCAAAUACUGGAUGGUAAUAGCUAUUGGGGUGUUCAAAUUUGUCCCUAAAUGCUGACACUAAUCUUUCCAUGGGAUCACGAACAAAAACAGCUUUGGUGUAGGUAUUCAAACGAGUAUAUAUCCCUUUUAAGUCAAAGCUAUCUAGUUUUUUCAAAUGCUUCCCGUAGUGGACAGCAUCAUGGGAGAUGUUGUACGCAGAGGAAGCCAACCCACUUAGCACCAUCAGAAUUCUCUUCCAGUUGGAGCAGCCAGCCUUGGGUACUUCACAAUAUAAGAUUUUGUGUUUAUCUUCCACAUAGAUCCUGGAUACCAUAUGAAAAAGAUGUGAUUGAGGACGACUCACCCCGCCAUAUUUUUUGCAAGACUCCUGAAGGAAAGACCUGCGUUUCUCUUGGGCCACAUCCGUUUCCUUCCAUUUGUUGUCUUUGAUUAAACUUUUAUUUAAAGGGUGUAUGUCCAAUGGCCACUUCAUUUCACUGAACUUCUUGAAAACAGUCCUAGUUCCUUGAUGUUUUGCAAUCAGCUUAAUUGUUGGUGGCCCUGUGGUCUUCCCCAAAACUCGAUCCUCUCCUUGUGAGUGGCUGGUCUUUGUGAAGACCCUCAUUGGCCUCUCAGAGUUGAGCAGAAGAUUUUCCUUUUUUCCCUUGGGAUCCUCAGUGAUGUGGAACUUGAGGUUCUGUUAAAAUAGAGAAGGAGAAAUGUUGAAAGCGCAUUCACAAACCUCUUGCAAUGACUGCAGAAGGGAAUACAUGGAAGACAGGACUUACAAGAUGGAAUCCUCUCCUAGAGAUAAAAUUGUAAGGACUUUGGCUUUUACUGUGGGUAAACUAGGGGGACUUUGAAGGGCUUUCAGCAGGGAAGUAACAUGAUCUCACUUACACUUGAAAAGGAUGGUUGAGGAGAAGACUGGCCUGGAAAUAUACAUACAGAAUCGUCAGCAUGUUAUUGGAAAAACCAAUCAACAAAUGGUGUGCUGUGGGAAUAAUAAAUGGGGCCACCAGCCUAGUGUUGGAAGAAGUGGUGAGAGAAGUUCCCUAGAGGAGGAUAUCUAUCUAUCUAUCUAUCUGACAUCCAUCCAUCCAUCCAUCCAUCCAUCCAUCCACUGUAUCCCCGGUGUCUAGAAUGGCCUGGAGCCUAUAGUAAUUGCUCUCACAUAUUUAUUGAGUGAACAAAUGAAUAAAUGGAAUGAAAUCUUCCAAGUUGAUUAGUAAUAUUCUAGCAAAUUGAGCAAAAGAGCAGAGAAAUAGUUUGCACUGUGGAUGGAAGCCACCUCAAAGCAUCACGGUCCUUCUACUAGCUAGGCUUUAAGUGGGGUGGGGGUGGGAAUUGCUUCUUUCUAGUGCAAGAAGAUUGUGUGAGUAACCCCUGAUCACCAUACACCAACUUGGGUAGCCCCAUAAAACAGCUGCCCAAAUCUUCCAUAGCAUUGAGCCAACUGUUUGGUGUUUCAAGUGUAAAACCAUUUGUCUUCUGUCAUACUGGAGACUGCCAGGAUGACUUCAAAGCCCUGAAUCCAUCUUUACUCUGAUCAAUUACCUGUAGUCCAUUAAAUUUUCACAGAUGAUCUGAAAUUUGACUUGAGCUUUGGAAGAUCAUGGGGUUAUUGGUUGACUGCAUGGGAAGUACUUAGUACAGGCCUGAAAUAAAAUUGCCAAUAUAUUUUUGCAGCUACUUCUUCUACUAUUACAACUGUAAGUAAUAAUUGCUAUUAUUAAUAUUUUAUAGUGUAGUAAUAAUGUUUUAUCCCAUUGGCCUAGUGAAUUUCAAGGUUCCCCAGUUGUCCAUUGUUAUCCAGACUAUAAUUUGUGUGUCUCUAGAUGUACCUUAAUUAGUUCCCUCCCUGCCCCAUUGACAAGAACAAAAACAAAAUCAGCUUUCCACUGUGCCCUCUGGACCUUCUGUUUGUGGUCAUCAAAUUCCCCUUUAAACUCUGGAGACUUCUGGAAUGUUUGUUUCCCAGGACUUUCUCUACCUGGAACCUGGCUGGCCCCCAAGAUUCUGCUGCCCUUGCACUUUCUCAAGUAGACAAAACUUUAUUUCCUUGAACCACUUGUCCCUCCAGCCAGAAGUCAGGGCACUAUUUCCCUGCAAUUCACUGCUGCUUCCAGGACAUGUCCCUUGGCAAAAGCUUCUGCUUCUGUCAAGCACACGUGUCCUACUGAGCCUCCCUUCUCCCUCCUCAUGCUGUCGUCUGCCUGUACCCUUGUCCUUUCUGCUUCAUGCACUGAAGACUUUAGCUUCUAGCUCAGACUUUGCUUCUCAUACCCCUUCUUGUCAUUGUGUGUGGUGACUCUGACACCCAAUAAACUCUCAGUUCCUUGACCACCUCGCCUUUAAUAGAGGUGUUAUUCAUUUCUCAUAGACCGUGUCAUCACCAGUGCCUGUGCCACCUCCAUCAUCUCUCUGACCACCAUCCUUUAACCUUCCAGCUCAUUGCAACUUCCAUUUUUUCAGUUCUUUGACCACUUCUCACCAUGUUAUUCAAGCUCUUAGUAGCCAGAAUGCCUGGUUCUUCUAUUUGCUCUUAGAAAGUCACUACUGCAGGGAGGUUUUUCCUGUCCACCUUGUCUAAAUUAUGUUCUCUUCUGAGAUUCUCUCCCAUGUAAGGUUCCCAAAUAAGAACUCUGCUUACUUUCCUCAUUGCAUUUAUUGCAAUGCGAAAUGAUUUUAUUUACUUACUUCUGUGUUGUCUCCCCCCACCCCCCGCCCCACUCCCACCUCUUGCACUAGAACAUGACCACAGAGGUCUUAUCUUUUUUGUUUUCUUUUGGAUCUCUGAUACGUAACAUGUUGCCUGGCACAUAGAAAACAGUCAACCAAUAAUUGUUGAUUAAGUGCAAUUUUUAAAGACCACAGGUGGAUUGUUUAUUUCAAGAUACAGCACAAAAUGAAUCUGUGUAUCUAUUAACAGGAUUUACUUACACAAUUGUACUACAUUUCACCAGCCUUCAUGCCAUAUUUAAUGAAAUAAAAAAAAUAAA